AAAGUCGCAUAGCGCGGGAUGACAUUUUACUGUUGAAAUUUGUGAAAUGAGCCUCGUUACGUUAUCCCAUCAUUACUAUAUAGUACUUUUAUUUCGACGCUAUCUCAUCAUUUCUACACUUUUACAUAUCUGCGUUUUGCAUCGUUUUACAUAGUGCACUUUUAUUUAAUCAUGUAUUAAUCAUCAUUUUGUAUCAGCAUUUUAAUCACCAUUAAGUAUUAUAAGUUCUUUCGACACUGCUAAAGACUAACAGCAUUUUUAAACACAAAUAUUGUUGAGAGCAGCAUAUAUUAAUUCCAAUUGUGUAAAAUGCCACCGAAAGCACAAAAGGAAUCAUUAGUACUAUUAAUAAAUAUUGGAAUAACAAAUCCAAAUAUAGAAAAUGAUCAUUCCUUAUUGGAGAAAGCAAAACAUAUUGCCAAGCGAAAAAUUCAGAAAAUGAUUUUCCUAACACCAAAAGAUGAAGUUGCAAUAAUGUUAAUGGGUUCUGGUGUUACAAAAAAUCGUUUGGGUACGGAACAUGUAGAAGAAUUUACAGAUUUUCAGAUUCCAAAUUGGGAUCUUGUAAAAAAAUGUAUGGGUCUAAAAGGUACAAACCAUUGUUCUAAUUGGAUUGAAGCACUUGAGGCUGCAGUGUUAUUUAUGAAAGAAAACACUUUUUUUCCUUCUACAAGGAAAAUCAUUUUGAUGUCCGAUUUUAAUGAAGAUCCAGAUAUUAUUUCACAAUUUCAAGCAGAUGCAAUUGUAGAUCGCCUUUCAACAAACAAAAUUAUAUUAAUCACACUAUCAGAAGCAACUAUAUCACCUACUCCUACACACAGUGAAACCUUUCUUAAAGAUGUCAAUGAAAAGAUUAAUGGUCACCAUAUAACAUUUGAUAAUGCCAUAUCAGAUAUGAAAUUUUAUACACCGAUACCAUCAAAACCAUUUCCAUCUUAUUAUAGCUUAGAGUUACUUGAUAAAAAGAUACCAGUUGUUUCUUACGCUAAGGUAAGAACAAGAAAUUUUCCAUCAUGGAAACAAGCCAAAGGUAAUCAAAAGCUCCGAACAGAAACAAAAUAUUUAGAUAGACAGAGGGUUUCUUAUACAGCAGAUAACAUUCAAAAAGGAUACAAAUAUGGAGCAGAUUUUAUUUCAGUACCCGAGGGUUUAGAGAGGAAUAUGAGACGUAAAGACAGUGAAAGAAGUUAUCGAAUUUACGGGUUUACGGACAGAAAUAAUGUUGAUUUGGAGUAUUUUUACAAAAGUUCCAGUUCUGUUAUUUUACCCAAUAGUGAAACAAAUAAUGUAGUGAAACCAUUUUAUAGUUUAGUGCAAGCAAUGCAUGAAACAAAUUCAGUUGCUAUUGUGAGAAAAAUUUAUAAGAAGGGUGGCGUGCCUAGAAUGGUUGCAUUGUUUCCUUGUAUUGAUAUUCCUGAUGAACCAUGGUGCUUGAUAGAAAUACAAUUAGUAUUUGCAGAAGAUCGAAGGAUCAUGGAAACAAGAUCCAUGAAGUCCAUAAUUAAACAAUUAAAUACUCCACAAAAUGAUGCUAUAGAUAGUUUAAUAGAUUCUCUUAUGUUAACGGAUACAGAAAAUGAUAGUGAGAUUGAUGGGUGUCAGUGUUUUUUACCAGGAUGCAUGCCAAAUCCUGGUGUACAACAUAGAUGGGAUAUGUUAUCGUACCGUGCUAUUAAUCCAGAUAAACCAUUACCGCCUGUGGAAAAUUAUUUAAAAGAAACUUUUGAAAUACCGUCGAUAAAAAAAAGAAGUAAAUGCCAUCUGCAGAAAAUUGCGGAACUAUUUCGAUUAGAGAGUAUAAAUCCAAAAAAAGAGAAAAGUGAGAUGAAGCAGCAAGAUAAUAUGCAGGUCAAUGAGGAUAUCGAUAUCGAUAUCGAAGAGUCUAAUAAAACAGAGGACAUAGCUGAUGUUGAAACUAAUUUAUAUAAGGAAUCAGUUUUGUCUCUGGAUAUCUCAGAUAUUGAUCUUGAUGAACUGGCUGCUAACAUAUAACUUCUGCAACUUGCUAAAUGAUUUAUGAUGGAUUUUUAUGAUAUUUGAAGAAUGUCUGAAAGGAAAUUUAAGAAAAUAUCUUGGAAUAAUUAACAGUGUGUGAAAUAUUACACGUAUAUUCUAUUUUCUUAAUAGGAUACCUGUUUUACGAGAAAUCGAUAAAAUCGACGUUCGCAUGUAGUGUUCGUUGUUCAAACAUCUGUCAAGAGCCGGAUUAUAGAAUAUUCGAUUCAAUGAACAUCGAACAUGGACUAAUUAUGGACAUAGAUAAACAUCAAUUAAACUUAAAGAAGUCCAACAUACAUAUAUUACGCAAGUCCUUUUCGACGAGUUAGGACUUCAAAAUAGUUAUAAUUGCAGCGAGAAACCUACUUACUAAUAACAAAAUUUUUAUCAAUUACGCAAAUGGCUGUUAACAUAUAAAAUUAGAGAUACAAUUGUAAUAACUUAAUGUGGCAACAUUUGAAAGACAUAAAAUAAUUGUGUAAAAGGAAUACAAAAACUUUGAUUAUUAUGACUCUUGAGCUCCACAACAAUGUAAUACGAUUUGUACAACAUACAGUCAAUGCUUAAUGUUUAUGUAAUUUACAGAUAGAUAUUUCUUACUGAUCGUUAUACAAAUUCUAUUAAACUAAUUUCCUAUGAUAUUUUUUUGCUCUUAAAUAAAUACGAAUGAUAAUGUCGUGAUAAACAUAAGAAUAUGACAUAAAUUAACAUCAUUAUCGUUAUCACAAAAUAUGGUCUCUCUAACAUUGAUAUGCAGAAAAGAUUU